rnacentral:rRNA from 1 species
UACGGGGGGGGGCAAGCGUUGUUCGGAAUUAUUGGGCGUAAAGAGCUCGUAGGCGGUCUGUCACGUCUGCUGUGAAAACUCGGGGCUUAACCCCGGGCCUGCAGUGGGUACGGGCAGACUAGAGUGCGGUAGGGGGAGACUGGAAUUCCUGGUGUAGCGGUGAAAUGCGCAGAUAUCAGGAGGAACACCGGUGGCGAAGGCGGGUCUCUGGGCCGUAACUGACGCUGAGGAGCGAAAGCAUGGGGGAGCGAACAGG